GAAAGAUCUCCCAUGCUCAUGGAUUGGCAGGAUUAAUAUAGUAAAAAUGGCCAUUUUACCAAAAGCAAUCUACAGAUUCAAUGCAAUCCCCAUCAAAAUACCAAUCCAAUUCUUCAAAGAGUUAGACAGAACAAUUUGCAAAUUAAUCUGGAAUAACAAAAAACCCAGGAUAGCUAAAGCUAUCCUCAACAAUAAAAGGACUUCAGGGGGAAUCACUAUCCCUGAACUCAAGCAGUAUUACAGAGCAAUAGUGAUAAAAACUCCAUGGUAUUGGUACAGAGACAGACAGAUAGACCAAUGGAAUAGAAUUGAAGACCCAGAAAUG
rnacentral:lncRNA from 1 species